CCUACGGGUGGCUGCAGUGGGGAAUAUUGCACAAUGGGGGAAACCCUGAUGCAGCGACGCCGCGUGAGUGAAGAAGUAUUUCGGUAUGUAAAGCUCUGUUAGUAGGGAAGAAAAUGACGGUACCUGACCAAGAAGCACCGGCUAACUACGUGCCAGCAGCCGCAGUAAUACGUAGGCGGCAAGCGUUAUCCGGAUUUACUGGGUGUAAGGGGGGCGCAGACGGGAAUGCAAGUCAGAAGUGAAAGCCCGGGGCGCAACCCCGGAACUGCUCUUGAAACUGCAUGGCUGGAGUACAGGAGGGGCAGGCGGAAUGCCUGGUGUAGCGGUGAAAUGCGUAGAUAUUAGGAGGAACACCGGUGGCGAAGGCGGCCUGCUAAACUAUAACUGACGUUGAGGCCCGAAGGCGUGGGGAGCAAACAGGAUUAGAUACCCGGGUAGUC
rnacentral:rRNA from 1 species